rnacentral:rRNA from 1 species
GUGGGGAAUAUUGGGCAAUGGGGGAAACCCUGACCCAGCAACGCCGCGUGAGGGAAGAAGGCUUUCGGGUCGUAAACCUUUGUCCUAUGGGACGAAGCAAGUGACGGUACCAUAGGAGGAAGCCCCGGCUAACUACGUGCCAGCAGCCGCGGUAAUACGUAGGGGGCGAGCGUUGUCCGGAAUGAUUGGGCGUAAAGGGCGCGUAGGCGGCCUGGUAAGUCUGAAGUGAAAGUCCCGCUUUCAAGGUGGGAAUUGCUUUGGAUACUGCUGGGCUUGAGUGCAGGAGAGGAAAGCGGAAUUCCCGGUGUAGCGGUGAAAUGCGUAGAGAUCGGGAGGAACACCAGUGGCGAAGGCGGCUUUCUGGACUGUAACUGACGCUGAGGCGCGAAAGCGUGGGGAGCAAACAGGA